CUAGCCGUAAACGAUGGAUACUAGGCGUUGAGAGGAUCGACCCUCGCAGUGCCGUAGCUAACGCGUUAAGUAUCCCGCCUGGGGAGUACGCGCGCAAGCGUGAAACUCAAAGGAAUUGACGGGGGCCCGCACAAGCGGUGGAGUAUGUGGUUUAAUUCGAUGCAACGCGAAGAACCUUACCAGGGCUUGACAUGUCCGGAACCCUGCCCAAAGGUGGGGGUGCCUACGGGAGCCGGAAUACAGGUGGUGC
rnacentral:rRNA from 1 species